rnacentral:rRNA from 1 species
UAAUACCGGAUAAUGUCUUCGGACCAAAGAUUUAUCGGCUUUUGAGCGGGCUAUCUCCUAUCAGCUUGUUGGUGAGGUAAUGGCUCACCAAUGCAACGACGGGUAGCGGGACUGAGAGGUUGGCCCGCCGCAUCGGGACUGAGACACUGCCCGGACCUCCACGGAGGGCUGCAGUAACGGAUAUUGGGCAAUGGGCGAAAGCCUGACCCAGCAAUGCCGCGUGCAGGAUGAAGCCCCUCGGGGUGUAAACUGCUGUCAGGGGUCAGAAAGACAGUUUAGGCUGUUUGAUCAGCCCCAGAGGAAGUCACGGCUAACUUCGUGCCAGCAGCCGCGGUAAUACGAAGGUGGCAAGCGUUGUUCGGAAUCACUGGGCUUAAAGGGCACGCAGGCGGAAUGGAAAGUGUUUUGUGAAAUCCCCCGGCUUAACCGGGGAAUUGCUUGACAAACUUCUAUUCUUGAGGCAGGUAGGGGUGUGUGGAACUCUUGGUGGAGCGGUGGAAUGCGUAGAUAUCAAGAGGAACGCCAAUGGUGAAGACAGCACACUGGGCCUGUCCUGACGCUGAGGUGCGAAAGCGUGGGGAGCAAACGGGAUUAGAUACCCCGGUAGUCCACGCCGUAAACGAUGUCUACUAGGUUGUGGGAGUUCUGACACUCUCGCAGCCGAAGCAAAAGUGUUUAGUAGACCGCCUGGGGAGUACGGUCGCAAGGCUAAAACUCAAAGGAAUUGACGGGGGCUCACACAAGCGGUGGAGCAUGUGGAUUAAUUCGAAGCAACGCGCAGAACCUUACCUGGGUUUGACAUGCUUGGAUGCCUGCCCCGAAAGGGGUUAGGCUGCCUUUUAGGUGAAACUUGCACAGGUGCUGCAUGGCUGUCGUCAGCUCGUGUCGUGAGAUGUCGGGUUAAGUCCUUUAACGAGCGAAACCCUUACCGUUAGUUGCCAGCGGGUCAUGCCGGGGACUCUAGCGGGACUGCCGGUGUCAAACCGGAGGAAGGUGGGGAUGACGUCAAGUCCUCAUGGCCUUUAUGCCCAGGGCCUCACACGUGCUACAAUGGGAGCUACAGAGCGAAGCGAGACCGCAAGGUGGAGCGAAUCGCAAAAAAACUCCCUCAGUUCGGAUUGCAGGCUGCCAAUUCGCCUGCAUGAAGUUGGAAUCGCUAGUAAUC